CUUGAAUAAAAUAAGAGGUCCAGCCUGCCCAGUGAAAUUAUUCAACGGCCGCGGUAUCCUAACCGUGCGAAGGUAGCGUAAUCACUUGUUCUUUAAAUGAGGACUAGUAUGAAUGGCACCACGAGGGUUCUACUGUCUCCUUUUUUUAAUCAGUGAAACUAAUCUCCCCGUGAAGAAGCGGGGAUCUUUAUAUAAGACGAGAAGACCCUAUGGAGCUUUAAACAACCAACAUUUGCUACACCACAACAUUUUUCCUAAAAGAAAUAUAGCAUUAUGAUUAUUAGUUUUCGAUUGGGGUGAUCACGGAGUAAAAUAUAACCUCCAUGCCGAAAGGGUUCUUACCCUGAGCAAAAAGCCACAACUUUAAGCACUAAAAAAAUUAACGCAGUUUGACCCAAUAUUUUGAUCAACGAAC
rnacentral:rRNA from 1 species